UACAGAGGUCUCAAGCGUUGUUCGGAUUCAUUGGGCGUAAAGGGUGUGUAGGUGGCGCGCUAAGUCGGGUGUGAAAUUUCGGAGCUUAACUCCGAAACUGCAUUCGAUACUGGCGUGCUUGAGGACUGGAGAGGAGACUGGAAUUCAUGGUGUAGCAGUGAAAUGCGUAGAGAUCAUGAGGAAGACCAGUGGCGAAGGCGGCGACCUGGGCCGAUAUUGACGCUGAGGUGCGAAAGCGUGGGGAGCAAACAGG
rnacentral:rRNA from 1 species